GCGCUGGCGGCCGUAGCGCGCACUCUCCGGCCCUGACUCGAACUGGGUCACAACCCUCGCAACCAGCCAGCGAACCUGUUUUGCAAACCCGCCGGGGUUAGUUGCGCGCCGAACUCACGCGACGCCGAUUUAUUUCUCUCGACGUUAUCUCACGAUUAUUGCGUGAGACACGCGUGACACGUUAUCGAUCACAUCGAUUGCUCGGUGGACGGUUUUUAUGUGAGAUUCUGAGCCAUCAAGCUGAACGUGACCGAGUUCGGAUAAAAGCGUCCAUGGGAGAAGGGUUGGGCGAGAAACGAAGGCGGGAGAAGGGAGAGGGGGAUCGAAGGGGUUAAUCGAUCCGGUGCCACGUGAAUUCCGUCUCGGGCAAGAUGGGUUACGGGCACAGAGAUUGUGAUUCUUAAUUCUUAGCUACCGUUCACUCGGUGUCGAUUAAUUUAGUGCGGGAAUCGAGGGGAAGCUGGUGAGAGUCGAAACAUGAGGCUUAUUCUUAAGAGUUGAAAAUUCGAUAUUAAGACGGUUGUAAUGACGUUGUGCCGUGUGCUUUUGUGACGUGUUAUCAAAACCUGGCCAGUCUUCGGAAUCUUCGCAGAGUGUUACAUGUUCCUGAAUCCUUAGUGCGCGGGUGAUCGUGUCGGAGAAAGUUGUUCCUUGGAAACGUGUUAGGAACGAAAGAAAAGUGGUGUCCCUUCAACCGGGAGAACGGUCGUCGAUCCUCGGCAUGA